rnacentral:lncRNA from 13 species
UGCUUGGCAUACUUACCCCCACUAUUAUCAGAAAAAUGUUUCCCUUUGAUCAUUGUGUAAGGAGCCUGAUGACCCCCGUUUUUCUUUGAUCAUUAAAUUGCUUGGAAACCACCUGUGCCCACAGCACCUUCUUCUAACCUGCUUUUCUGCUUCUGUACAAUUCUGCUUCAGCUAGGUACCCCCUCCAUUACCUAAAUCAGUGUAUAAAAGACAAUCAAGUCCCUUCUUUAGGGCCGAGAGAAUUUUGAGCAUUAGCUGUCUCUCAGUCACUGGCUAAUUAAUAAAGGGCUCUUAAUUUGGAGCUCAGAGUGUGGCGCGUUCCUUCUAACUCACUCGGUUAUUACAUUUGGAGGCCCCAGCCAGAGUUCUUAUCUUGUUAUUUUAUAUAUUUUGCCAUCAGUGCAGACUGGGAUGGUUUUGGGCUCCCCGGAGCUGGGAGGCAGACUAUAGGGGAGGCACCCCCUGAGACAUUCCAGGGCCCCAUAGACCAACCCUUGCUGGAGGAGAGUGGAUCAACUCCCAGUGCGCUGCACCACGUUAUUCUUCAGAGUCCCUGGUCCUGCUUAGUGGAAAAGUUUAUUUCAGUAGAGACCUUGAAAAACAAUGGAAGAGAGGCAAGCCUAAGAGGGAAAUCAAUAGGAGGCCUUGAAGGAGGGAAACUGGAGGAUGGACUUCUGUUUUUCCUUUCCAGAAGAACUAGAGGAGAAAACUGGUACAUUUGAGCAGCCCUGCAUGGUAUAUGGAUAUCUACUUGGUUGAAACCACCCCCUGACAGACCCUGGCAACUUACACAUGUACACCAGUGAACUUUCUUCAUUACAUGCUAAAGUAUCCACCCUGGGAGGAGCUGUAGCUUCUUUAUAAUAGCACUCAACCUAUGGGCUGGCAUGAUGACCCUGUGUCUGCACCUUAGGAGCCCCCCCCCGCCCCAUGCAAUGAUGCACCUGCUCCCUUUUCAUUGCCCAAUAAAACCCUCCUUUUGCUUUCCCUUUGAGAGCA